rnacentral:lncRNA from 1 species
CGCCUGCCUCCUGGCUCCCGCCCAGCUUAUUGUGUGCGCUGCCUGGCCAGGCCCCGGGUCCUGCCAUGUGCUGGGUGGUAGAUUUCCUCCUCCCAGUGCCUUCUGGGAAGGGAGAGGGCCUCUGCCUGGGACACUGCGGGACAGAGGGUGGCUGGAGUGAAUUAAAGCCUUUGUUUUUUAAAGAAAUGGCAAAGCCUUCGACUGACCCUUGACCCCCUGCUCCCUCAGCAGAGACGGAGAGAGGGGCUGCUGGUGGUCAGGGACCUGCACUGUGUAGAGGGAGCCUGGCUGUGUGGCCUGGAACAAGUCCCUCCCUCCCUGUGCGCCUCAGGUGGCCUGUCUGUGAGAUGAGAAGAAGACCAGACUGAAGCCUGUUCACCAUAUGCCAGGCAGUGCUUUCUGCAGACCCCCUUGCAGAGACCUUGUGAUGGAGAAUUAUACCCAUUUGACAGACGAGGGAACUGUGGCUGGUUUCAAGAAGCCAUGGAGGCCGGGCACGGUGGCUCACGCCUGUAAUCCCAGCACUUUGGGAGGCUGAGGCGGGCAGAUCAUGAGGUCAAGAGGUCGAGACCAUCUGGCCAGCAUGGUGAAACCCCGUCUCUGCUAAAAAUACAAAAAUUAUUAGCUGGACGUGGUGGCGCAUGCCUGUAGUCCCAGCUACUCGGGAGGCUGAGGCAGGACAAUUGUUUGAACCUGGGAGGCAGAGGUUGCAGUGAGCUGAGAUAGUGCCACUGUACUCCAGCCUGGGCGACAGAGCAAGACUCCAUCUCAAAAAAAAAAAAAAAGCCAUGGGACCUGCCUACAGUCACAAGCCAACAAGGUGGCAGGUCCAGGAUUUGAACUUAGAGCAGUCGAGGGCCUGUGUUGGGAACCCCAGAGUGAGAGUGUGGAUGGGGCCUCCUGGUGUUUGCUUUUUUGCAGCCUAGACCCUGGGGUGUGCUGUCGAGGGGGUGAAUGGCAGAGGGGAACUGGCUGAAUGAAAACCUGCUGUGCCCUGGAUGCUGCUACUGUUCAGGAUGCCACCCCUGCCACCAGGCCAGCCCAGUGGGGGCCAACUACAAAAGCAGCCCUGUCCUGUGCCCUCACCCCACCCUGGCUUUGAAUGUCACUGCCCUUCUCCCAGCCCAACCCAUCACUGGUUUCAUGGUCUGAUUUAUUGGUGGUGAAUACACAGGGGCAGGCCCAGGACAAGCAGCUUGGCUACUCCCCCUCUGCUGGCUGCCCGACCGGCAGAGGGGGCUCCAUGUGGCAGGAGCUAGGCUCCCAACGCCCACUGUUCUUGCCACCCUCUGGGCUCCCAGGCUGGGCUCCGCUAGGCUCCUGUCUCCCCUGCCAGUUAGGCAAGUCCAGGUGUGGAGGCCGCAGGGAUAGAUCCAGGUGGCUCUGGGCUGGGCCCUCUUCUCUUCCCAGCGGGGAGGUGCUGUUGGCCUGGCUGGGCUGGCCUGGAUCUGUUUCAAGUUCUCCCUUCCUGCCCAGCUCAGUUCACCAGUGCUGGAUCCAGGUUCAAAUGACAGGGACUUGGGUUUUUACAACAGCGUGGCAAGUGGUCUGUCUCCUGGGCAGCCAUAUCCCAGACCCACUGGGUUGAAGGUUCUGUGGGGUGGAGGGACCCCAAGGUGUUCCAAGCCAGUGGCUGCACUGGCAGCAGGCCUCUGAGAGGGAGGCGGGAAGGGUAGGCGCGGAGAGCAGGCUCCAUUCUGGGUCGAGUGGAGGACUGGCUCCCAGGGUGAGUUCACACCAGUGCUCCCAGCUGGCGGCUGCUCAGUCUCUCCUGCUGGGCAAGCGCGGGGGGCCCGGGGCUAUGCCAUGCUGCUGGUGGAGCAGGGGGUGCUCUGGGUGCUCCCGAUGCUGUGGUGGGUGCUGCUGCUCUCCGAGGAGGCCGGGGCAGCCACCGCCACCACGGGCUCCCGCUUGCUGGGGGAACCUGGGAGCAGGGGCAGGGGCAGGGGCGGAGGUCAGGGUCCUGGCCAGGGCCCCUCAAUCCCUCAGAGGCUUCACUGGGCUCCCCCGGGUGGAUGGAGGGGCCCGGCAUGCUCACUGUGGGGGCCUGGGGUACUCACGCGUGUGCGAGUAGAUGUACCAGAGUGCAGCAGUGAGCAGGGCCCCGAUGAGGAAGGCACCAAAGGUGAUGCCCAGCACGGCGGGCAGGACGAGGCCUUUGCUUGUGCAACCUAGAGAGGGCCGACGCCAUCAGCACUGCCACUCUGCCCCUGCCCCAUCCCCUACCCUGUUGUGCUGGCCCGCGUGGGCUUUGGUGCCAGCUCUGCUCAGCCAUGGACCCUCGACUUCUCUGAACCUCAGUCUCCUCUUGUAGCAAACGGGCUCAUCACAGCCAGGCCUGGCAUUGAGCCAUGGUUGCUAGGACUGUCCACCUAGAGGGCCCAGCCAGGCCUUUUGGGUCAUGCCUCUGCCCCUCAAGGCUGAUGGAGAUGGCGUUUUCAGGGAGGAUGGAUGGGGUAACGUGAGGAAACUGAGGCUCGGGAGUACAGAGCCUGCCCCAACUGCUGCAUGACCUUGGGUCAACCCUGCCCCUCUCUGAGGCCUUUAGCAGGUAGAGAAUGGGCCAGAGCAGCUCCGAGUGCCCUGCAGCUCUGCUCUUGGAUUGUUCCAAGCCUCAUUCCCUCCACAUUCCUGACUCCUGUGUGGCUAUGGGCCAAGCAGUCUUUCCUUGAGCCUCUGACAUCCGAUUCUGUGUCAUGGGGUUAUCAGCCCUGCCUUCUUGGUCCUGGGCUGGGAGUGGAGGCUCCAUCCUGGCCUGGAUGGGGUGGCAAAGAGGUAGGUGCCCCCAUCCCUCACCCCUGCCUCUGCCACCAGUGUUGGGACUCUUCUGCCUGGUGUGGGCCUGGGCCUGGGGGGAACUGAUGGAGAGGCUAGAGGGGGCGUCCUGCAGGGAGAGGCCUCAAGGAAGGCAAGGCCAGCACCCACCCUCAAAGGGCCUCUGUCCUACCCAGGAGGCUCCAUCCUUCCAGCAAGGUCAGCCAAUAACUGUGGGGAUGGAGUGGAGCCGUGAGUGGGGGCAGAGGCCUAGACUCCCACCCCACAGGGCGGUCCCGGGCAAGGGCUCUCCAUCUGCAAAGUGCAGCUCUGGCCCCUGCUCUAGGCUGCUAUGGCUCUGGGAAGCCCUCCUCCUGCCCCUUCUGGGCCGCUUUCUCUGGGGUCCCCCUUGCCAUGUGCUAUGUGCCCAGGCCGUUUCUCAGGGCUGCCCGCUGUGCCCUACUGUGACCUCAGCCACUAGAACAAACCCGAGAGACCUGGAGGGAGCUCACCAGACAGGUCAGGGGUGAUGAUGUUCAAGCGCAUGAAGACAGUCCUAUGGACUUCCUGGAGGAGAGAGAGAGAGCAGUAUGUGGCACCUUUGGGAGGCGGCUUCCAGGUUUACUCCCUGGCUCCGUGACCCCAGCCCACCCUAGGGCCUUGGCUUUGAAUCCCAUCUCCACCGCUUCGUAGCUGGAUGCCUCUGGGUGAGUCCUGGAAGAUCUGUACUGUGGGAGGGUGCCUAGUGGAUGAUCCCUGGCUGCUGCUGAAAUGUUUCCUGUGAGUUCCUGGAGGCCUUGAUGCCCAGGAGCACUGUGGAAGCACUAUGCAUCCCUCACCCUUGUGAACACUUUGGAGCUAUGAGCCAGGUCAGCCCAGAGUCCCAGGCUCACUGUGGCUGGAGGGAGAGGCCCACUUAGGGGAGUUGAAGGCUUCCCUAGCUUCCUAUGACCAGAGAAGUUUGUAAUCCUGGAGGCCUGUCUGUGCAAGGGCCUGGGGGUGACUCUGGGGGCGUCCAGGAUAGAUUGCCUGAGAGUGGGGGUCACCAGAUGGUGAAGUGUUGUGACUGGCAAAUACAGAAAGCCAGGAGUGUGUGUCCUUUGUCUGCCUCUCUUCCCUCAGGUCUCCUGUUCUUUGAGAUUACACUGGUGACCAUACUACGUGGAUGUGCGGGUGGCUAGAUUCCUGGGUGGGAGGGUGGAUGGAUGGAUGGACGGACGGGUAAGUGGAAGGAUGGAUGGAUGGAUAGAUGGACAGUGGCAGCUGCAUAGUCUGCCAGUGCCCCAGACACAGCAGUCCCACCAGAAAGCUCUCGGGUGGCAGAAAGCGCUGCUGGCAGCCAGACUGCCAGGCCACAUGCCUGAUUAAGGCUCCGCCCCUCACCAGCUGGCCCCACAUCCCUGUGGGCUGCCAUGUCCCUUCCUGCAAACCACAGACCUGGAAGCUCCCACUUGAAGCUGGGGCGGGCCCAGGCCCCACUCACCUGGUCUUGAGACCCGGUCUUGGGACGCAGGGCUACAGUGCAGCUGAGGGUGCCAGUUUUGGGUAUGGGUACUGUGUAGAAGUGGAGGAGGAAGCUGAAGCGCGGGUCACCCUCAGGGCUUGGGGACAGCAGGCUCACACAGUUGCCCUUGGCUGCCCGGCCCUGGAUGAGUUCCACGGUGCCUCCCUCAGGCCCCAAGUCCAGGUGGCAGCUGUCUAACUGGAGCAGGAACUCGGAGAUGGAUGGGGACACUCUGACCUGCAUGGGUAGGUAGGGCCACGCGGCAUGGGCAGCUGCUCUUCACCCCACCCCACCUGCUGCCUUGAAAUAUCGGCUAGAAUUAAGAGUUCCCACCCCUGAGUCCUCACAGUGGAAGGAAAGACAUGGACCUGUCUGGGGCAGAGGAGGAGGACAGGGCCACAUCCUUGUCAGUGUCCCUGAGCAAUGCCUUCUCUGUCUCUCCCUCUCCCGUGCACCCAGGCUGUCUCCCUCCUGACUCUGGGAGUCUCAUCUCCUCUGGAGUCACGGUGGGAAGAAAGGCGGAGAGGAAGUUCCAGGAGCUGGGAGGCCUGAGGGGUGACAGGCAUGCCAGCUGGGGUCCCAGAAGGUCAGGCCCGUGAUGGUGCACUUCAAAUGCUGGGUCGGAAGAGAGGGGCACCAUCAGGAGGAACUGGGGUCUCUGUGGCCUGCCACACCCCAGCACCAAGGACUGACCACAACCCAGGGGUCCCAAGUCACAGCCAUUCCCCUGCCCUGCUCCCUCUUCAUUUUUGUUAGAUGUCAUCAUCCUACACCACUUAAAACUUCUUUUUUUUGAGACGGAGUCUCACUCUUU